rnacentral:piRNA from 1 species
AAGGAUAGCUCUUGAGCCCGUGG